rnacentral:rRNA from 1 species
AUUGAACGCUGGCGGCACGCCUUACACAUGCAAGUCGAACGGUAACAGGUCUUCGGAUGCUGACGAGUGGCGAACGGGUGAGUAAUACAUCGGAACGUGCCUAGUAGUGGGGGAUAACUACUCGAAAGAGUGGCUAAUACCGCAUGAGAUCUACGGAUGGAAGCAGGGGAUCGCAAGACCUUGUGCUACUAGAGCGGCCGAUGGCAGAUUAGGUAGUUGGUGGGAUAAAAGCUUACCAAGCCGACGAUCUGUAGCUGGUCUGAGAGGACGAUCAGCCACACUGGGACUGAGAAACGGCCCAGACUCCUACGGGAGGCAGCAGUGGGGAAUUUUGGACAAUGGGCGAAAGCCUGAUCCAGCAAUGCCGCGUGCAGGAUGAAGGCCUUCGGGUUGUAAACUGCUUUUGUACGGAACGAAAAGCCCCGGGUUAAUACCCUGGGGUCAUGACGGUACCGUAAGAAUAAGCACCGGCUAACUACGUGCCAGCAGCCGCGGUAA